rnacentral:rRNA from 1 species
UACGGAGGGAGCUAGCGUUGUUCGGAAUUACUGGGCGUAAAGCGCACGUAGGCGGAUUUCUAAGUCAGGGGUGAAAUCCUGGAGCUCAACUCCAGAACUGCCUUUGAUACUGGGAAUCUCGAGUCCGGGAGAGGUGAGUGGAACUGCGAGUGUAGAGGUGAAAUUCGUAGAUAUUCGCAAGAACACCAGUGGCGAAGGCGGCUCACUGGCCCGGUACUGACGCUGAGGUGCGAAAGCGUGGGGAGCAAACAGG